CAAUGUUGACAGCUUUUGCAGAUCAUAGCCACGUCUGCUGACUUAUCUCUACUUCGUAUCACGAUGACGGCAAUAACACGUGGACCUUUUAGAGUACCAAACUUUUUUUUUAUUAACCUAGAUUAUCCCAUACCUAUGAAAAACUUAGAUCAAUCUCUAAAUAGACGUGUUUUCUCUCUCUUAUCUCUCUCGAAUUAUUUAGAGAGAGAGAGCUUCGUCUUUUUACUGUGAGAAAUCAACAGGAUGGAUGAUGGGUUCUCUUCAUCUAUUCGCCGGAUUCUCAACGGUAUCGAUUCCCGGCAUUCGGGCUUUGACUCUGGCAAGCGGCGGUUUCGUUAACGUCGUCUUGGCCGGCUUCUCUUCCGGCAAGCAGCGGCUUCUAUAGUGUUGAUCUUGGCCGGCUUUCUCUCCGGCAUGCGAUGGCUUCUUCAGCGUCGUAUUGGCUGGUUUAUCUUCGUCCUAUCAUCGUUUCAUCUUCGAUGUUGGGUAGAUCUUUUACACCGGAUUUUCCGGUUUAUUUGUAUAGUAUUACGUUUUAUCUCUUGCGUUUAUUGUUUUGUCUCUCGUUGUUGUUGGUGCGUUUGAUCUAGAGCUUCCUGUUUCUGGUGUGUUCCGGUGCUCGAUUUAACUCUCCGGCGGCGAGCUUCUUGCCGGUGACGUGGGUGACGUUUCUGCUUCUGAGCCACAUGUCUUCUUCAUCUCUCUCGGAGCAACACGUGGCUUUGUGUUGUCGGUAAAAUGUUAUUAUUCACUUUUUGGGCUUUCGCUGUUUGGACCUUUUAUUACCCCUACUUGUGUUUAAUCUUUCGGACAGUGUUGUUCUUGUUGGCAUUUUGGGCUUUUAGUAAUAAAGAGAUGAUACAGAGGAAAAAAAAAACAAUUUCUAAAUAGACGUACAUUCCACGGUUCUUGUUAAUACUUUAAAGCUUUUACAUAUCGGCCCACGCUGUGGCGGCAUGAAAGGUUAAGCUUCGGGGAGUGUAUCAACGGGCUUUACUAAUACUAAUUCUUCCAUCUUGUGUUUUACAGUAUUCGGUCUAUUGAGCUACAAAUACAUCAAAAGCUGACAAUAUGUAUAUGUUAACGACAAUAUGUAUAUGUUGUUCAAAAAAAAAAAUGUAUAUGUUAACGACGAUUGUAUUUUUUGUAAACACUUUUUCAAUC